AUAAAUUUUCAGUUAUAAACAAAAAAAAAUUAUUUGAAAAAAAAGGAAUUUGAUGGAAAAAUUAUAUCCUCUGAAAUAUUGAUCAAAGUGUAUGAAAAUUAUAUUUAUUGUAAAUGUAAAUAUAGAAGCAUUUCGAAAUAAUAAGGAACAAAGUUAACCUUAUUUUGAAAAAGUGGUUUUAAAAAAAUUUUCAAUUUUUUAAUUCUUAUUAAGUCAAGUGAGUUUAAAAAACUUUUCAACGGUUUCUACAAUAUACGUAGGUCCAAUUUCGUUCAUCUACUGAUUUGUCAUAAUAAUGGCGUCACAAAAGAGAAUACCAGAACAUAGAAACGAGGGUGCAACAUUUCCAGACAUUGUACGUUAUGUGAUGGAUCAUUCGCGGAUUACAGAAGACAAGGCAAAAUUCUUGAUUAUUGAAGUGCUUAAAGCAGGAAUGGCAAUGAAAAAAAUUAAGAAAACACCUACUGGUAUUUAUUAUUUGACGAAUUUAAAACCACCUCAGCUUAUUUUUAAAAUUCGUGAACCACGAUUCAGUGACGACAGUGAUGAUACA